rnacentral:rRNA from 1 species
GCCCUGCACUUCGGGAUAAGCCUGGGAAACUGGGUCUAAUACCGGAUAGGAGCCAUUUUUAGUGUGAUGGUUGGAAAGUUUUUUCGGUGUAGGAUGAGCUCGCGGCCUAUCAGCUUGUUGGUGGGGUAAUGGCCUACCAAGGCGGCGACGGGUAGCCGGCCUGAGAGGGUGGACGGCCACAUUGGGACUGAGAUACGGCCCAGACUCCUACGGGAGGCAGCAGUGGGGAAUAUUGCACAAUGGGCGCAAGCCUGAUGCAGCGACGCCGCGUGGGGGAUGACGGCCUUCGGGUUGUAAACUCCUUUCGCUAGGGACGAAGCUUUUUGUGACGGUACCUAGAUAAGAAGCACCGGCUAACUACGUGCCAGCAGCCGCGGUAAUACGUAGGGUGCGAGCGUUGUCCGGAAUUACUGGGCGUAAAGGGCUCGUAGGUGGUUUGUCGCGUCGUCUGUGAAAUUCCGGGGCUUAACUCCGGGCGUGCAGGCGAUACGGGCAUAACUUGAGUACUGUAGGGGUAACUGGAAUUCCUGGUGUAGCGGUGAAAUGCGCAGAUAUCAGGAGGAACACCGAUGGCGAAGGCAGGUUACUGGGCAGUUACUGACGCUGAGGAGCGAAAGCAUGGGUAGCGAACAGGAUUAGAUACCCUGGUAGUCCAUGCCGUAAACGGUGGGCGCUAGGUGUGAGGGUCUUUUCACGACUUUCGUGCCGUAGCUAACGCAUUAAGCGCCCCGCCUGGGGAGUACGGCCGCAAGGCUAAAACUCAAAGGAAUUGACGGGGGCCCGCACAAGCGGCGGAGCAUGUGGAUUAAUUCGAUGCAACGCGAAGAACCUUACCUGGGCUUGACAUACACUGGAUCGCUGCAGAGAUGCAGUUUCCCUUUGUGGCUGGUGUACAGGUGGUGCAUGGUUGUCGUCAGCUCGUGUCGUGAGAUGUUGGGUUAAGUCCCGCAACGAGCGCAACCCUUGUCUUAUGUUGCCAGCAUUUGGUUGGGGACUCAUGAGAGACUGCCGGGGUCAACU